rnacentral:rRNA from 1 species
AUUGAACGCUGGCGGCAUGCCUUACACAUGCAAGUCGAACGGUAACGCGGGGCAACCUGGCGACGAGUGGCGAACGGGUGAGUAAUGUAUCGGAACGUGCCCAAUAGUGGGGGAUAGCCCGGCGAAAGCCGGGUUAAUACCGCAUACGACCUACGGGUGAAAGGGGGGGAUCGCAAGACCUCUCGCUAUUGGAGCGGCCGAUAUCAGAUUAGGUAGUUGGUGGGGUAAAAGCCUACCAAGCCUGCGAUCUGUAGUUGGUCUGAGAGGACGACCAGCCACACUGGGACUGAGACACGGCCCAGACUCCUACGGGAGGCAGCAGUGGGGAAUUUUGGACAAUGGGGGCAACCCUGAUCCAGCAAUGCCGCGUGCAGGAAGAAGGCCUUCGGGUUGUAAACUGCUUUUGUCAGGGAAGAGAUCCCUUGGGUUAAUACCUCGGGGGGAUGACGGUACCUGAAGAAUAAGCACCGGCUAACUACGUGCCAGCCGCCGCCGUAA